rnacentral:lncRNA from 10 species
GAACUUGUCUCCAGCACUGCGGACACCCGGGUGACACAUUCUUUCGGAGAGGGAGGGCAAGACUUUUCUCCGGAGCCUCUGGCAACUCGUGGAGUCUAUAUAAGAUCUUCAAAGAAAGAGAUAUCCUUUCGAGGCAACACAAGAAGCCAACUACAAAUGAGAAUAUUAUUCUCUUGGUGCAGGGAUUGUUGCAUGUGGACCCCAUCAGCCUUGAAAAGUCCAUGCAAUGGAGUGAAACUUGACAAAGCAGUUGCAGUCGUUCACCAGUGAAGCAAAGUCUUCUUCCUAGUCACGCAGGAAUUUUUUUGGGGGAGAUAACUUGAUGCCUGGAGCUGCUGCUGCAUCUUAUGUAAAUGACAACUAAGGAUAAAAACCACACACAUUACCCAAGGUGCAGUAAAAGAAGAUAUUUUGGGAGGAAGAGAGAAAGCAAGAGAGAGAAACCACAUUUUCAUAACUUUUGUUACAGUAUAUUGUUAUAAUUGGUCUAUUUUUAUUAUUAUUGUUGUUCAUAUUUUACUUUAAUUUAUAAAUUAAACUU